GCUGGAGGUUUGGCGGGAUGGAGACCCACCUCGGGAUGCAGCCAUGAAAAACAAGAGCCCGAUUAUUUCCCUGCCUGUCCUUCCCUCCUAUCCCAUCCUGCCCGCCUGAUUCAAUUAAUAUUCAGCCAAAGGAGGAUGUUGUCUUGUCUUUGCUGUCAGGGCACUGACACCCUGCAUGUGUGAGUGUG